rnacentral:tRNA from 1 species
AGCGGGGUAGAGGAAUUGGUCAACUCAUCAGGCCCAUGACCUGAAGGCUGUAGGUUCGAAUCCUGUCCCCGCCU